AUUGAACGCUGGCGGCAGGCCUAACACAUGCAAGUCGAGCGAGCGGCGGACGGGUGUGUAAUGUAUGGGGACUGCCUGAUCGAGGGGGAUAACUACUGGAACCGGUGGCUAAUACCGCAUACUAUCGGAUAACUCACAGGGGAUUAGCUAGGCGGUGGGGUAAAGGCUCACCUAGGCGACGAUCCAUAGCUGGUCUGAGAGGAUGAUCGGCCACACUGGGACUGAGACACGGCCCAGACUCCUACGGAGGCAGCAGUGGGGAAUAUUGCACAAUGGGCGCAAGCCUGAUGCAGCCAUGCCGCGUGUAUGAAGAAGGCCUUAGGGUUGUAAAGUACUUUCAGCGGGGAGGCGUUACCCACAGAAGAAGCACCGGCUAACUCCGUGCCAGCAGCCGCGGUAAUUC
rnacentral:rRNA from 1 species